CGGAAUGUGGCUCAGUUUGGUAGAGCAUCUGGUUUGGGACCAGAGGGUCGCAGGUUCAAAUCCUGUCAUUCCGACCA
rnacentral:tRNA from 1 species